rnacentral:rRNA from 1 species
CGGACGGGUGAGUAACACGUGGGCAACCUGCCUGUAAGACUGGGAUAACUUCGGGAAACCGAAGCUAAUACCGGAUAGGAUCUUCUCCUUCAUGGGAGAUGAUUGAAAGAUGGUUUCGGCUAUCACUUACAGAUGGGCCCGCGGUGCAUUAGCUAGUUGGUGAGGUAACGGCUCACCAAGGCAACGAUGCAUAGCCGACCUGAGAGGGUGAUCGGCCACACUGGGACUGAGACACGGCCCAGACUCCUACGGGAGGCAGCAGUAGGGAAUCUUCCGCAAUGGACGAAAGUCUGACGGAGCAACGCCGCGUGAGUGAUGAAGGCUUUCGGGUCGUAAAACUCUGUUGUUAGGGAAGAACAAGUACGAGAGUAACUGCUCGUACCUUGACGGUACCUAACCAGAAAGCCACGGCUAACUACGUGCCAGCAGCCGCGGUAAUACGUAGGUGGCAAGCGUUAUCCGGAAUUAUUGGGCGUAAAGCGCGCGCAGGCGGUUUCUUAAGUCUGAUGUGAAAGCCCACGGCUCAACCGUGGAGGGUCAUUGGAAACUGGGGAACUUGAGUGCAGAAGAGAAAAGCGGAAUUCCACGUGUAGCGGUGAAAUGCGUAGAGAUGUGGAGGAACACCAGUGGCGAAGGCGGCUUUUUGGUCUGUAACUGACGCUGAGGCGCGAAAGCGUGGGGAGCAAACAGGAUUAGAUAC